GACGAACGCUGGCGGCGUGCUUAACACAUGCAAGUCGAACGGAAAGGCCCUGCUUUUGUGGGGUGCUCGAGUGGCGAACGGGUGAGUAACACGUGAGUAACCUGCCCUUGACUUUGGGAUAACUUCAGGAAACUGGGGCUAAUACCGGAUAGGAGCUCCUGCUGCAUGGUGGGGGUUGGAAAGUUUCGGCGGUUGUGGAUGGACUCGCGGCUUAUCAGCUUGUUGGUGGGGUAGUGGCUUACCAAGGCUUUGAAGGGUAGCCGGCCUGGGAGGGUGACCGGCCACAUUGGGACUGAGAUACGGCCCAGACUCCUACGGGAGGCAGCAGUGGGGAAUAUUGCACAAUGGGCGGAAGCCUGAUGCAGCAACGCCGCGUGCGGGAUGACGGCCUUCGGGUUGUAAACCGCUUUCGCCUGUGACGAAGCGUGAGUGACGGUAAUGGGUAAAGAAGCACCGGCUAACUACGUG
rnacentral:rRNA from 1 species